rnacentral:rRNA from 1 species
UACAGAGGUGGCAAGCGUUGUUCGGAAUUACUGGGCGUAAAGGGCGCGUAGGCGGUUUCGUAAGUCCUGUGUGAAAUCCCCCGGCUCAACUGGGGAACUGCACAGGAAACUGCGAGGCUUGAGUUCGGGAGAGGGAAGCGGAAUUCCGGGUGUAGCGGUGAAAUGCGUAGAUAUCAGGAGGAACACCAAUGGCGAAGGCAGCUCGCUGGGACGGUACUGACGCUGAGACGCGAAAGCGUGGGGAGCAAACAGG